rnacentral:rRNA from 1 species
CACGUAGGGGGCGAGCGUUGUCCGGAUUUAUUGGGCGUAAAGAGCUCGUAGGCGGCUCGGUAAGUCGGGUGUGAAAUUUCGAGGCUCAACCUCGAAACGCCACCCGAUACUGCUGUGGCUAGAGUCCGGUAGGGGAGCGUGGAAUUCCUGGUGUAGCGGUGAAAUGCGCAGAUAUCAGGAGGAACACCAGCGGCGAAGGCGGCGCUCUGGGCCGGUACUGACGCUGAGGAGCGAAAGCGUGGGGAGCGAACAGG